UACAGAGGGUGCGAGCGUUGUUCGGAAUUAUUGGGCUUAAAGGGCGCGUAGGCGGUUCGGUAAGUCACCUGUGAAAUCUCCUGGCUCAACUGGGAGCUUGCAGGCGAAACUGCCGUGCUGGAGUGUGGGAGAGGUGAGUGGAAUUCCCGGUCUAGCGGUGAAAUGCGUAGAUAUCGGGAGGAACACCAAUUGCGAAGGCAGCUCGCUGGGACGUUACUGACGCUGAGACGCGAAAGCGUGGGGAGCAAACAGG
rnacentral:rRNA from 1 species